UUGAUACUCACAUUUUAACAUGAUUUUUCUAAAAAAAAAAAAAAAUUGUAUGGAUAAUCAAGUAAACCUAAGUUGCUUCAGUCCAAUAAGUGUUCAUCUUGAAAUAUUACUAACAAUGCAAAAGUUAUUCUCACACUUAUUAUGUAUGUUAAAAUCAGUAAAGACACGUGAACCACAACCUGAUGGUGGAUAUUGUUACACUAAAAGGCUUUUUACCUGUGAAGUAUAAAUUAGCAGAUGAUUGGUUUUCCUCAAAGUUUUGAUCAUUUAGAGGCCUUAGAAAUGUGUGCAUCAAAUACAGUGACUUUAUAUAAAAGGCUUUAUAGGGUUAAUAAGGGCUAGAUUAUAUUCUAUACUUUUAAUGUUUUUCAAGGUUUAUUGCACCAAAACCAGUCGUAGUUUAGUUUUUCACCCUCUCUCUGACCCUCAGAGUUAAAUAGUCCCUUUUGCUACUGUACCUUUAAGACUUGACCUUGGUUAAAGAAAUGGUUAACCCAAAAAUUAAAAUUCACAACCAAACAAAACUUUCCAGUUUGAGUAUGCUGAAUGGCAUUUAAAGGGGAAGAUCUUUAGUCAAUAACAACCACAACAAAGCUAUAUGACUUGGGAAAAAUAUGCAUAUGACUUGAAAAACCUGUGCAUUAGUGCAGUGACACCUUAGUUUUAAUCUCAAACUGAGCAAAAACUAUGCAGUUUGGUUCAGUUGCUGAUAUUUGUUUACAAGGUCAAAAAUGAGUGCAAUGAUAUAUGUGUGUGUGUGUGUGUGUGUGUGUGUGUGUGUGUGUGUGUGUGUGUGUGUGUGUGUGUGUGUGUGUGUGUGUGUAGACUUCAGCAGGAGUGUGUGGAAGCGGCUCGCAUAGCGGAGGAUCUGGCCCGGCAGGCUGCAGAAUUGGCCGUCAGACAGCUGGAGGAAGAGCAAACCACACAGAUCAUCAUCGACACGAAAACAGAAGAGCUGGACAAUGAGGAUCAGAGCCUGGUGGACGUCUGCCCUGCGGAGCCCUCGCCACAUGAGUCUGAGGUUUCAGAUCAGGCACUACAAGCAGAUCCGGUCUCACCGCUCGUGACCACUCAGCCUCAGCGUGCCACAUCUUUACCUCCUGAUGCUGACCAGGAAGAGGAACCUCCUGAAGAAGGAUGUGGAGUGCCUGCUAGCUGUUCUGGCAUAAAGAGCUGGAUUCUUCGCAUCCCCCAUGCUUCCACAUGUCUGAGCAGCUUACACCUGCUGAAAAACAAUAAUGUUCCCCUGCCCAAGAUGCCCUCCGAUCUCCUGCUGCUAUACCAGGAGAUAUCCCAGCUUCCAAAACAAGCCAACCAGUGCUUCCAGAACGUUAUCCAUCGCCUCAACAUCCUCAAGCCCAUGUAGAACUCCUCAGCAGCAGUAUGUAGUCUUGGAGUUAGAAUCUGUAGCUAGUGGAUUUUAUUCUUAAAACACCCAAGAGACCCACUGUCAUCCCAAGCCAAAGUGCCCUAAAAUCCAGAUCAUCCCAUGCUUGACACCUAUAGACAUGAUUUUGAAGUGCCCUACAGUUACAGAAAGAAACCAAACCUCCAGCAAUCUCUCAGGUGAACUGACUGUGCUAGAUAGCGCUGUGCUGUGCUGUGCUGUGCUGUCUGUUAUGUGCAAGUUAUUUGUUGCUAAUACAAGUACCAAUAUUACUAUUGUUCACACUUAAGGUUAGGGCUUUUUCAAAACUCUACCACAUAGUGUGCACUAUUGACAUGAAUAUUACCUCCAAUAUUGCAUCCUGUUGAGGAGAAAUGUACUGGACAAUAAAAAAAAUAAAUAAAUAAAAAUGGGUCAUAUUAAUAUAGCCGGCAAUAUUAAAUGAUAGACAUUUCAAAAUAAGAGUCAUGGUGUAUUUUUAGGCUUGUUUAUUAUUAAAAGUCCUGCAUUAUCAUACUUUUUUUUUUUUCCUUGGUUAUUAUCGGUAAUUUGGUCCGUCUUCGUUUCAGGCGUUUAAAGGGGGGUGAUUCUCCAUACCCACUGUACGUGUGUGUGUGUGUGUGUGUGUGUGUGUGUGUGUGUGUGUGUGUGUGUGUGUGUGUGUGUGUGUGUGUGUGUAGACACACACUACACACACACACACACAAUUUAUACAGCUUACAAUAGGUCUAUAAAUAUUUAAACAAAUAUUAAAUACAGUUUGAUGCCUGGUGUGCUUCUUGUAUUUUUAAUAAAGGUACAAUUUUCUUCUAUAAAUUUUCAUUGUGCCUCUAAAGUUUUGUAAUGUGCUCCUAAAUUGUUUUAUUUAGUCGCCCAUGUGCUCCUUUGGGGACAAAAGUCAGUAUAAAGCCCUGAUCUGAGAAAUCAUGGAAAAAAGUGGGGGGAAAAGUGAAAGUGAAAAUGUGAAUGUUCAACUUUCGUGUUUUAAGAUUUAUUAUCCACAGGUGUG
ensembl:lncRNA